UGUAAGCCGUGGAAUGUCAGACCAACAAAAUAUUUAUUUGUACCGCUCUAGUUACGUUGGUAAACCAGUUUAUAAUAGCAAUAAGGCACCUCGGGGGGUUGUAAUAUAUGGCCGAUAUACCAAAAGGCAAAGUGCUGUGUCCUUAGCACUCCGCGUUGCGUCGUGUUUAAGAACAGCCCUUAGCCAUUGUUUAUUGGCCAUAUACCACACCCCCUCGGGCCUUAUUGCUUAAAUAUAGCGUGUUGAUUUGUUAUUAUGCAUUACUGCAUCCAGGAGCGCCUUUUUACGGUUUCCCUGCUCAAGUCAUUGUGAUGCCUGGGAGAGGAGCGACACCUCUCAUACAAUAAAACAACCUGAUCUCCGAAGUCCACGUUUUUAAUCUCAAUCACACACAGCGGAGCAGUACAGCACCGGUUACACUGGACCCGGAUGCAUCGAUGAUCAACGUCAGCUCGGUCACCGUGGAGCUGCUGCUCCAGAGACUGUUUACAUCAUGAGAGCACCCUCGUCUGAGUGUUCCAGAGCAAAGAAUUACUGAUGAAUUGUCAAACCCGUGUUGAAUAUGACCGGUAUCAGUAAAGGUCGGCAAACACUUCAGUCAUCAACGCUCUAAACAACAGGAAAACAGCCUAACCAACAAAUGCUAGGCCAAAACCUUAUCCUCAGCUUUUUGGUUUUUCCACGACCACCACCACUGUCACCCAAGGGACAUCCAGCCAUCUUAACACAACUUUAGGAAGCAUUGGUGUCAACAUGGGCCAGCAUCCCUGUGGAACUCUUUAGACACCUCGUAGAGUCCACGCCUCGACGAAUUGAUGCUGUAUGAGAGCAUAAGGAAUGCAGCUCAAUAUUAGGAAGGUGUUCCUUAUGUUUUGUACACUCAGUGUAUAUUUGGCUUUGUUUUAGGUAAUUAUCCUCCUGAAAGAUGAGUUUGUCUCCCAGUGUCUGUUGGAAAGCAGACUGAACCAGGUUUUCCUCUAGAAUUACGCCUGGACUUGGCUCUUUUCUGUUUCUUUAAAUCCUAAAAUAACUCCCAAACCCAUAACAUGAUACAGCCACCAUCAUGCUUGAAAAUAUGAAGAGAUAUACUCAGUGAUGUUUUGGAUUUGCCCCAAACAUAACACUUUGUAUUCAGGACAAAAGCUCAAUUUCUUUGCCACAUUUUUUGCAGUAUUUAGUGCCAGGAUGUGUGUUUUUGAAUAUUUUAAUUCUGUAUAGGCUUCCUUUUCACUCUGUCAAUUGUGUUAUUAGUCCCUCCUUUGCAUUGGGAAAUCUCCCUGGUCUUUGUGGUUGGAUCUGUGUUUAAUUCACUGAGGGACCUUACAGGUCAUUUUAUGGGGUACAGAGGUGGGAUAGUCAUUCAAGAGUUAAACACAAUAAUUGCACACAGAGUGAACCCAUGCAAUUUAUUAUGUUUCUUGUUUAAGAUAAUAUUUAUUCCUGAAUUUAUUUAUGCUGAAUUUAUUUAUGCAUGCCAUAACAACAAUGUUGCUUCAAUAUAUUAUAUAUAUAUCCACAUAAUCUUCCUUCCCCAUGAAGCCAUAUAUUUUGUGAAGUGCACCAGUCCCUCCUGAAGAACACUGGGAUGGUGUUCUUCGGCUUGCAAGC